rnacentral:tRNA from 1 species
GCAGGGGUAUCGAAGCCCGGUCAACCGAGAAGGACUCAAGAUCGGUUCAAUGGGAAAUCCUUUCCUUUAGGGGUUCGUGGGUUCAAAUCCCACCUCCUGCACCA